AUAGUAGCAGCGAUUCGCCUUGAAUAAUUGCGGCUUUAGAAUGUUCCUUCUGCAGUGCGAUCGUUACUUCAUUAAGCCUUAUGUGACCAGGCUUGUGUUAGGAUGAAAAAGAAACAGAGAAUGAAAAAAGAGAAACAUAACGCGAAGUUGUGAAACAAAACGAAAGAAAACUAAAUUUUCCAGCUGGAGGUCUAUCAUAAACAGCUUCCAGCUCUAUUAUAAACAGUCUAAAAUAUAUUUAAACAAUUUGGUUCUAUGACGCCGGGGCUUGUGCGUUAGGUUUACGGAGAAGAAAAAAAAUUACUACUGAAAACGGAUGCUUCGGAAACAAUCAAACAGUGCUGAAUGCAAUAAAAGCCGCUCAGUUUUGCAAUAAUUCAUCAUUUCUUUCAAGAAAAACGUGAGUAACUGAUUUGUUCUUGUGUGCUGGCUGGUAUAAUUACUUAUUUAUUGCAGAUGAACAAGUCAGCAUUUCUCCUCUUGCUUCUCAUCGGACUCAUCGUCCUCACCGAAACCACUACUGCUGAGUGGACUGAUCGUCGUCGCCGUCGUCGCAGAUGGACAAAGUGGAACCAAAAGAGCAGCAUGCUUAACGAAAUCAUGGAUGCCAUGGAAGAAAAUGAUCUGUACGCACAGCAAUAAGCGUCCAUUGUACAAUAAUUGAAAUCGGAUGAUAUCAAUAAAUAAUACAAAAAGCGAGAAUA